CUUAGAACGAACGCUGGCGGCGUGCUAACACAUGCAAGUCGAACGCGAAAGGGACUUCGGUCCUGAGUAAAGUGGCGCACGGGUGAGUAACGCGUAGAUAACCUGUCUUCAUGUCUGGAAUAAUACGCCGAAAGGGGUACUAAUACCGGAUAUUCUUGCUUUUCAUAAGUUAUGCAAGCAAAGGUGGCCUCUGCAUAUGCUACUGCAUGAAGAGGGGUCUGCGUACCAUUAGCUAGUAGGUGGGGUAAUGGCCUACCUAGGCGACGAUGGUUAGCGGGUCUGAGAGGAUGAUCCGCCACACUGGCACUGGAACACGGGCCAGACUCCUACGGGAGGCAGCAGUGAGGAAUAUUGCGCAAUGGGGGAAACCCUGACGCAGCGACGCCGCGUGAGUGAGGAAGGCCUUCGGGUCGUAAAGCUCUGUCAAGAGGAAAGAAGUGUACAAUGGCUAAUACCUGUUGUAUUUGACGGUACCUCUAAAGGAAGCACCGGCUAACUCUGUGCCAGCCGCCGC
rnacentral:rRNA from 1 species